CGGAGGAAAAGAAACUAACAAGGAUUCCCCUAGUAACGGCGAGUGAAGAGGGAAGAGCUCAAAUUUUGAAUCUGGCGUCUUUGGCGUCCGAAUUGUAAUCUAGAGAAGUGUUUUCCGUGACGGACCGUGCAUAAGUCUCCUGGAAUGGAGUGUCAUAGAGGGUGAGAAUCCCGUAUAUGGCACGGACCCCCGUUGCUCUGUGAUACACUCUCGACGAGUCGAGUUGUUUGGGAAUGCAGCUCUAAAUGGGUGGUAAAUGCCAUCUAAAGCUAAAUAUUGGCGAGAGACCGAUAGCGAACAAGUACCGUGAGGGAAAGAUGAAAAGCACUUUGGAAAGAGAGUGAAACAGUACGUGAAAUUGUUGAAAGGGAAACGCUUGAAGUCAGUCGCGCCGUUCGGGAUUCAGCCUUGCUUCUGCUCGGUUUACUUCCCGUUGGGUGGGUCAACAUCAGUUUCGGUCGGAGGAGAAAGACUUGGGGAAGGUGGCAGCAUUCGUGCUGUGUUAUAGCCCCUUGUUGUAUACUUCGACUGGGACUGAGGACCGCAGCACGCCUCUGGCCGGGGUUCGCCCACGUACGUGCUUAGGAUGUUGGCAUAAUGGCUUUAAGCGACCCGUCUUGAAA
rnacentral:rRNA from 1 species